GCGGGUCCCACCAGUGACUUUCCGGACAACCUGCCUGUCUCUCGGAGCAGCAAGGCGGAGUUCUUUGGGACUCUCGUCCACUCCUUGGAGGCGAGAAGGGAGUUUCGGGCUGUGGUACCUCACAUGUUCCGUUACCGAUGCCCCAGGACAGAGGGGCUCCCUACCGCGGUGGUCCUCCUCCUGCUCCAGCACGCAGCACGGUUUGCAGAGGGACUGCGCGUGACUAAGGUUAAACUUCCCAGCAAGGUCGUAUUAUUUGGGAAACAGUAGACGUUUCGGAUCAUGCCACUUUUUAUUUUCUCCUCAGACCCUUUCCAUCCAUCUGUUGUCAGCCCCUAGACCAAUGGCGCUGACGCCAAAGAUCCCAGCACUUUCUGCUAGGAAGUGUUUAAUUAAUAAAAAUAAUCAUUACAACAUGA